CUGUAACGUUAGAAUAUACCCCUGACAAAUUCUAUCAGGUAUGAAUAUCAUGCAAAUUGCCAAAGCACCUUCUGAAAGGCUGUACUGGUUUUCACUUCACAGCAGUGUGCUUCCCUUCACUGUUCCCAAGGCCAGCUUCAUGAGUGAGUGACCUGUGCAGUCGUACGAGGCUCUGCACUCAGAGGGCCCUGUGCUUAGUUUAAUGCUCUGCUGUCACCAUCUUGAAAUUCUUAAUAAUUUUUUCUUUGAAUAUGUGCUUGUAAGUGAAGAGUGAUGGGCUACUAGAACACGCAGGCAAUCAGGGGAGACAUGCGCCAUGUGUGUCCACCAUUCCUUGCUGCCUCGUUCACAGAUAGCAUCUGCCAUGCCUCAUGAACACACGGUUCCAGUGGAUCCAUAAUGUGCAGGAGGUCGGCUAGACUCAAAGCAAGUCCAAGAUGAGGUGAUACCAGUGGAGUAUCUUAGAUGGCCACUCACAAGCUUUUAAGACCCCACACACUACUCACCAAGGUGUGUGAGUAGGCUGUGUGGCUGGAUGCUUCUCCCUGAGGAAACUGUGGCCGAACGCUACCACCAGUCUUCCACAGCCACUCCUGGGAAUGAUGCCUGAGGGCUCCCAACAAUUCAGGUCUGGUAACUCCUCUCCACUUCUGAACCGUCUCUUCCUCUCCCUGCUCCUCAGUUCAUUUUCUGACCUUGCCUUUGAUGUUCAGAGCUCCUAGCUUGUCAAAAAUAUACUUGUUUCACUUGUUUUUUCGGGUCUUUGUUGUAAGAAGGUCUCCGGAAGUGUUUGUCUAUUCUGCCAUCUUGGCCCUGCCUCUGGAAUUGACACCUUGGAAUUGUGGUAUUGGCAGAGAAUGUUGAAUAUACCAUGGACUGCCAAAAGAACAAACAAAUCUGUCUUGGAGGAAGUACAACUAAAACGCUCUUUAGAAGCAAGGAUGGAGAGACUACAUCUCACAUACUUUGGACGUGUUAUCAGGAGGAAUCUGUCCCUGGAGAAAGACAUCAUGCUUCAUAAAGUGGAGGGUCAGCAAAAAAAGGAAGAUCCUCAACAAGAUGGAUUGACACAGUGGUGGCAACGAUGGGCUCAAACAUAGCAACAAUUGUGAGAAUGGUGCAGGACAGGGCAAUGUUUCGUUCUGCUGUGCAUAGGGUCACUAUGAGUCAGAACUGACCCAACAGCACCUAACAAUACAAAAACAACACUCCUAGGAAGAGUUAUGCCCAUUUUUUCAUACAAUUAAGAUGAAGCCCCUUUUACUUUUUGCAUAAAAACCUUCCAUAGUUCUCAGUACUUAUGGGAUAAAAUCCAAGUCUCCUGGCAUGGCAUUCAUGCCCCACUAUUAUCUGCCUGGCUUCAUCUCUGCUCCCUCCUUGGUCUUCCCCGAUCCUGCUAAAUCUUACUCUCCUUCCAGGACAUGUAGCACCUCUGCCUGGCAUGUAUUUUGUUUUCUUCUUGGUCAGAUUCAUGUACUCAUCUUUGCAAAACAGUUGGGAAGAUGAUCUUGACUCCUCCAGGGCCACUCAGCCUCUCCCUGCUUUGGGUUCCACAGCUCUGUGUACAUGCCUCUUAAUACCCCUAGUCACAAUAUAUUUUAUAAUUAUU